UACAGAGGGUGCAAGCGUUGUUCGGAAUUAUUGGGCGUAAAGAGCUCGUAGGCGGUUUGUCGCGUCUGCUGUGAAAACGCGAGGCUCAACCUCGCGCCUGCAGUGGGUACGGGCAGACUAGAGUGCGGUAGGGGAGAUUGGAAUUCCUGGUGUAGCGGUGGAAUGCGCAGAUAUCAGGAGGAACACCGGUGGCGAAGGCGGGUCUCUGGGCCGAAACUGACGCUGAGGAGCGAAAGCGUGGGGAGCAAACAGG
rnacentral:rRNA from 1 species